CUCAGAAUCAACGCUGGCGGCGCGCUUAACACAUGCAAGUCGAACGAGAAAGGGGAGCAAUCCCCGAGUAAAGUGGCGCACGGGUGAGUAACACGUGGGUAAUCUGCCUCUGGGUGGGGAAUAACUCUGGGAAACCGGAGCUAAUACCGCAUAAGCCCGAAAGGGGAAAGGCGAAAGUCGCCGAGAGAGGAGCCCGCGGUCGAUUAGCUAGUUGGUGGGGUAAAGGCUCACCAAGGCAGUGAUCGAUAGCCGGCCUGAGAGGGCACACGGCCACACUGGCACUGAAACGCGGGCCAGACUCCUACGGGAGGCAGCAGUGGGGAAUCUUGCACAAUGGGGGAAACCCUGAUGCAGCGACGCCGCGUGAGCGAUGAAGCCCUUCGGGGUGUGAAGCUCUUUCGGCAGGGACGAUAAUGACGGUACCUGAAGAAGAAGCUGCGGCUAACUACGUGCCAGCAGCCGCGGUAAUACGUAGGCAGCGAGCGUUGUUCGGAGUUACUGGGCGUAAAGAGUGCGUAGGCGGCGGCCCAAGUCUGGUGUGAAAUCUCCCGGCUCAACCGGGGAGGGUGCGCCGGAAACUGGGUUUGCUGGAGUGCCGGAGAGGCAGGCGGAAUUCCCGGGUGGUAGCGGGUGAAAUGCGUAGAUUAUCGGGGAGGACACCCGUGGGUGUAGACGGCCUGCUGG
rnacentral:rRNA from 1 species